AGAUACAGGCAGUUUUGAGCCAGUUAUCCCCAGGACACACACCAGUCAGGUCAUGGUGGUCCUUGGGUGACCUCUGGCAGCCUGGCUUAGAAACUGGACAGAAACCAGGUCCUGAGACUGGAGCCUGACAUCUGCGAGGAUGCAGUCAUGCCUGAGGAUUGCAUAGCUGAAUUUAACUCACUCCUAUAAUUCCAGUGGUAAGGACUGGUGAGAAGUCUCUGCUCCUGACGCUUCCCACAGACUGUUUCUUGGCUGAUCCUCUGGCAGUGGCCCAAAACCAACAGUGUAUUCUAACACGUCGCCAGGGUUUGUCAGCAGAAAUUUAGGGAAAAAAAAAUAACCACCAGUGUUGCUCAUUUUAAUCUUUCAGAAGAUUUCAGAGUGCUGAGCAAUGAGGCUUAAAGAGUUAGACAAGGAGCAAUAAGGAAAGAGUGAUUAUUAACCACGUCUGAUGAGAAUAACAUUGCAGAUUCUGUUCCGAGUUUCAUGGAUUUGUAGUAAGUCCCUGGCCUCAUGGUUUUGCAUAUCAUACUAUUUCAAAAUUCAUGAGACCAUUAUUUUUUCUUCACUAAGCCCUAUUUUUCAUGGUGUCUACCACACAAACCACCCAGAAGCAGCUCAUAAUUUCCCAGGUCUCUGUGGUGACUAGGUCAUGUAACCACACCUGCCUUCACUGCUACUCUCUGUCACUUUUCCUGUCUCUGCAUUUGGCUUCUGCCUUUUUGCUGUAUCUCAGAUCAUAAAAUCUGUGGGGGAAAGUCAACUUCCAUGUGAGCGAUACACUGCUAUUUGCCAUGAGAUUUACUUCUGGAUGGGGUCUGCACACUAUCCUAUAACAUUAGGGAAAAGAAAAGCACUAUAUAGGUCUAUCUGAAGGGUUUAGGGACUAUUAACACUUCCUAAAAGGUGAGCAGUACAGCCUGAAAGUCUGAAAAUCUCCUUUAUCUGCUCAGACAGAACUACAAACUGUUUCAGAGUGGCUGGACCGUGGGGAGCAAGGACCUGGAAAGCAAAGCAGUCUCCCGUGUGUAGAGCCUGUACUGAGACCUUUAUGCAAUAAAGCAGGAGACUAAGUAAAAACCUAUGCAGAGACCUAGCAGUAGUGCUGUAAGGGUGUAUAAUUCAUAUUCUGAGUUAAAACUGUGUAAGUAACCUUAAGUAACCUGGUUAAGAGCCAUUAACCAAGCUGCUUUGGGAGUUACCAUACAUGGGUCUACAGCGUUGCCUAAGUAAACCAGACAGGAAAGAGCAAUUGGACUCGGUCCUACCCUCUCAAUGUCUUUCUUGGGGAUGAGACUUAUUCCUAUCUUCUUUUGACUCCAUGAGGUGAAAGGCCAAGUUGUGUGCCUGUCUUGGAGACAUACUUCCUUGCUCCAGUGCCCUUGUGGUGGUUCUCAGAAAAGCCAACGCGUGAUUUACUAGAAGGCAUACUCUCUUUUCAGAGGGAUCUUCCACUAAAAACACCACAGAGGGUAGGGCUGUGAUGAGACAAGGUUUUCUUCCUCACAUUUAUUUUUCCUGUGGAAAAACAGAGGAUCCAGGUUUGUGUUAUUCUGGAUUUAUACGAGUGUGUAUGCCCAAGGGCUCCUCUGUUGUUGACCAUCCUGUUUUGCUGGGAACACACCACAGGAGAUGCUGUAGAAGAUCAGCGCCAAAAAACACCUCACAAAAAGGGAAAUAAUGUCAUCCAGUACUUUUAUUUGUACCGUGCAGUCUGAAUCCAUGCUGACUACACAACACAGUGCGAGCUCUCUCGUUACCUGUGUAAGCCACUGCCUUGUUCCCAGGUGCAUGUGUUAUUAAAUGAAGACUAAAGUGUUGGGUGAAGGGUGAGGGCAGCAGCCCAAGUUCCAACUUUCCCUGACUCACUGCUGCAUCCCAGCCAUGUUCUCAUGUGGCUUUCAAGCAAGUAACUUUUUCUGCUGAGUCACGGUCUUACAAAGUGUUUUCAUCUCAUGAUUAAUCCUUUAUUUAUUUAUUUAUUUAUUUAUUAAUCCAGAAAAGAAAUGGCAAACUCUCUUCUGAUUUCUGCUCUCCUUUGCCCUGGGGAAAGUUGCUGGGUCAUAGAAAAUGUGGAUUCUGCUCUGCUUUAUAUCACUUCCUGCUUUUUCUUAAUUUCCUUUCAUACCCAGUGUUAUCUCUGGGAUAUGAGAACCUCCACAGCUGCCUUGGGGAACCUCCAGCUGUCUAACUUACUCUCUGUCCUGUUAACCACCCGUUACCCUGCCAGAGGACAGCUGUCAGUGCCUUUCGGGGAUUUCAUUCAGCACAAACUGCUGCAGUAAAAAGGCACUUGUAAUAUUCCUGCUGCCUUUCCUGCUCUUACUGUAAGUUGCAACAGCUUGCACACCCUGUUUCCACACACAGUCACAUGUUAAAUCCCUCGUGACAUCAGCGGAUAAGCUUUCCAGAGCCUGCAGCCCAGCCCCAGCAGAGCUGGUGCAGGAACCCAGGACCUGAGCUGGGUUUUCUUGCCCCAGUGUUAGGGAACUCCUGGGAUUUGUAGCACUUCUGGGGCAACCCCACUUCAUCUGCAGAAUGAAGCCUCUGAGAUUUGCAGCUUGCUGCAGAGGCACCGUGCAAGAGGAAUGUAUUUUUGGCAGCAUCAAACAGUAUGCACUGAGUUUAGAUCACCCUUGCCAAACAUUUGACGUCAGAAGCAAUAACUUCAAGCGGUGCACUAAGGUGAGGUGUCAUUGGAAGAGGCAUGCGGGACGAGCAGAAGUUCCCUGGGCAGUGUGGCAUUGCAGCAAGAUGCGUGUUCACUCCUCGUGGAGCCCUGCACAAAGCACUGCUGUUUUCACAUCCUGUUACAUUUCAGGAAGCCUCUCUCAGUCUCCCUGAAAGAGAAUGAAGUGGUUUCAUUCUCAUUGCUUUGCAGAUGCCAACGGUUUGCUUGGUUUCAAUGGAAAAAGGGAAGAGCAAGCACCAUCCGUUGACUAGAAAUCAGAUGUACCUGCUGAGAGAGAAAAGAAGCUGCAAGUGUUGCUGGCUGAAAUAAGUUUACCUUAUUUCCUGGGAAACCUGUGAGGAGAAAAAAAGGAAUGUUAACCCCCUUAUCUCUUCCCAAGUUCCUAAGCCCUAUUAUCUGAUUUUCACAGUCUCAGGAUGACUCACUCGUCUGAAGCUUAGUGUUCAGUGCCUCUUGAGAGCCAUGAAGGUGCAAUAUGGCUAUUUCCUAUGAGUGUGGCUGAUGGCUUCAUCCCAAUACCACUUCACCCUGCACAUCAG